rnacentral:rRNA from 1 species
CAGCAGCCGCGGGAAUACGGAGGGUGCAAGCGUUAAUCGGAAUUACUGGGCGUAAAGCGUGCGUAGGCGGCUCGUUAAGUCUGUUGUGAAAGCCCCGGGCUCAACCUGGGAAUGGCAAUGGAUACUGGCGAGCUAGAGUGUGUCAGAGGAUGGUGGAAUUCCCGGUGUAGCGGUGAAAUGCGUAGAGAUCGGGAGGAACAUCAGUGGCGAAGGCGGCCGUCUGGGACAACACUGACGCUGAGGCACGAAAGCGUGGGGAGCAAACAGGAUUAGAUACCCGCGUAGUCCCUGUCUCUUAUAC